CCCCCAACUCUCUUUCUCUUUCUCUCAAAAAAUAAAUUAAUUAAAAAAAAAUAAGACCAAAACCUCUCCUCACAGAACCCGACACCGCCCCCCUCCCAGGCCCCUUCACCCUCCUCCAGCACCGUAUAGUUCACAUAUUUAUUGUGAAUAUUAUCCUGUAACACUAUGUAUAAUUCAUGUAUUUAUCACAUAUUAUGUGUUUCCUUCUCCUGUUGGCAUUUAAACCCCACAAAAGCAGGCUCUCCGUCCCUUUUGUUCGCGGAUGUGUCCAGGCACCUAGAAACAGCACUUAACAGCCAAUACUUGUUGAACGAAUGGAUGGAUGUUUGCGAUGACUUUUAACAGGUGCUUUCGGUCUAGUGUCUGCAGAAAAGCUGUGAGUGUCCCACCGGCAUCCCCUCCACCUACCCUAAAGGUCACCAACAGAUAGUUCCCGAAAAGCAGAUGCGUCCUGGGUCUCAGGCCAUGUGCUCCUGGGAGGAGUCAGAAGUGCCAGGACUUCACCCCAAGGAGCAGCCCAGGAGGGUGGGAGUUGGUGGGGAGACCCCCAGCUUUCUUGCCCCGCCAUGGGACUGAGCCUCACUUGUGCACAGCAGCAGCCCCACUCACUAAUAUCCCUGAACUGGCUUCCUUCCCCCCCACCCCGCCUCACCCCCCCCCCGCCCCACUCUCACAGCACUUCCCAAAUAAGUGGCAUGACCCUAAAUCCUUGUUUCAGGGCUUGCCUUCAGCCUACAGGAAGGCAGACUAAGCCAGUCUCCUGGUUUGAAAUACUAAGGUUGCCAGCCACAUUCUUAAAAAGCUUUUGCAUUGACCCAUAGAUGGGACUUCAGAUAUUUCCCCCCGAGGAAGACUGCAGGAUUUACCCCCUUAAGAAUUUUGGAGCCAGGGGACUAUCUGAAGCUUUUAGCCAAGUAGAUCAGAAGAGUUCUUGGAAUGGGGUGAGGGAUGUUCCAUCAAGGCAAGAGUGGAGAUCGAAGAAUUGCUCUCGAUAUUCUGACAGCCUGAAAGAAAUCAUCCGAUCCAUUUACCAAUGACAAAACCAUGCAGGCUAAAUGUUAACAUUCACUAUUAGGGGCUGGAGGCAUCCCUCCUUCUUGGGGUAGAUUAUUCGGACCGAAAGCUAUUACCUCACAGAUCUAAGGUUAACUUUUACAAAGAGGAGAGACAAAUUACUCAUUCAUCAAGAACAUUGGUGUUUGAAGGAAUCUUUCUAAACAGGCUUUUGGUGUAAGCACAGUUGGGUAUCACUAAUCCAGCCUCCUUGCUCUACACAGGAGGCAUCUGAGGCCAGAGAAGGCCAGUGGACUUGGCCAAGGUCACUCAGCUGGGAGUGAAGGGCCAGGUCUUGAACUUGGGCCUCUGAACACCACUCCCCCAAGUUUUACACUCUUACUUCACACAGGAAGGAAAUGGCAUGCUUUGGAGAAUCUAGGACUGUUGUUUCCUCUGGAAGAUAUUUUGAUAGAUGCAAAAUUUUCCCUAAAAAGCACAGUGAGUGAAUUUUACCCAUUAGGAGAUAAAUAGGCUGCAAUGACAAAAUGCUGGAUAUUUACAUCUAAUGAGCUUCUCUGUGGGAAACAGCUGCAUGGCACAUGAAGAAUGGUAAGAAGGACACAUUUACUCAUUCUGGAAGCAGUGUGGUGUAAUUACAUGCCUGGCACAGUACCUAGGACAGAGCAGGCUCCUAGAGCUCACCUCUUUGAUCUUGGACAAAUGACAUGAACCUCUCCAGACCUCUUUCUCCUCAUGUGUCCACUGUUGUGGGGAGAGAGACCUCAAGAUCCAGCGGGGGAGAACCUGGUUUCAAAUGUCAACUUUGCUAUGGGGUCCUAGGUAAGGCACUCCAUCCCUCUGAGCCUCGGUUCCCACUACUGUAAGCAGAGAAUGGAUUAAAGACCCUCUAAGAUGCCCUUGUAGCUCAAAAUUCCCACAUCCCCUUUCCACCUCUCACAAUCUCUGACUUUAUUGGCUUUGGAAUUGAUUUGUUUUGGAGAUCGAUUCUUUGUAAACCUAAGUAAAAAUAAAAUGACACCUUGCCUUCAGUCGGGCUAAUCCCAAGCAAGCAGCUCAAGAGAUGAGCAAAGAAGCGUCAAGCAGACAACUAGAAGUGAGGGCAGCCACAGCAGUUCUGAAACCUGUUUCCUUACAGCCAAAGGUGAUCCUUGGGCAAUUACUCCCAUCCGCAUGAUAGCCGGUAGGAAAGGAAGUUCAGAGGACCUAAUGCCACAAACCCAGGAAAGAUUGUGAGCAAGAGGAAAUAGGAUUUCCUCAAAGCCUCGUUCUUCGAUUCCUUUUUGAACUUCAGGGGGCGUUUUGUUCCAGAACCCUUUGCAGGAGGUCAUGUCACCAUCCCGACCUGGCCUCUCUCGAAGUGGGUUCUCCAGGGCAGGAACCGGGAACAUAGGUUUCUGAAAGAACGUUGCACACAGUAAAUCCUGCGUUCAGGUUUAAUUCUUGAUCUGGUUUGCAUUAUCUGUGUGUGUGUGGUGGCGGGGGGGGGUGGGGAGGUAUGGGGGUGUGGGGUGGUAGUAAAUAAUGUGAUUGCUUUCUGUUUUAAGCAGAACUUUCAGAAGCUAUAUCCCCAAAUGAUCACAUACCUUAGACAGCCAUCAACUCAUACCAGCCAUGCUACCCUGGGGAAAUACUUCUUAGAAUCCCCCCCUCAGACUUGCCUUUGGAGUCGAAGGCAGAAUCUUCAGAACUUUUUCAACGUUACAGAAAUGGGAUCUUGUAGGUGUGAAUCUGAAGGUCAGCCACAGCCACAAGUCUUUCAGAGCAAGACUUGUGGAUAAGAGGGGUUCUCCGGCUCUUUUAACAACAGGCAGAAGAAUGUGUCCUGAUAAAUGUGGGAGGAAUGACAAGAUUAGAGCGUCAUCGUUUUGUAACUCCUGGGGAAAUAAUUGAUUCAGGCAAUGACGACUAAUCUGUGAACUCAUCAGAUGACGGACUGAUGGGGGACCUGACCAUAGAGGGAUCAAGCUGCGCUCCUGGAACCAGCGAUCAAUCUGAGUGCCACGGGAAGUGGGACAGCGUGUGUGUCCCGAUGUGUGGCAAUAGGCAGCCUGCGGUACCGCCUGGAGGUGUUCUUGUCACGAAUGCCAGUGGUGCCCCUCGAGUCGGCUGUCAUUUACAGGAAUUACGGAGGAAUAGGGGAACAAGGAAAAUGACUUCCAUGAGACCACACGGAGGCAAAGAAACAAAUCCAGAAGAGUGCCAGCUGUUCCUUUUCAUCUCAGCCACGACUUUCCUGCCAGCCUCGGUCCCUCCCUCGCACGAUGUGGAGCAGGUGUUCUGGGACCCGUGGAACAUUGCAGCAUUCAGGGCCCCCUGUGCCCUCUGGACGGUCUUAACACCAUGAUCCAAGAGACGAAAAUUCACAUAUGAUGCAAAUUUUCUCUGUUCGGGGAGCACAGCCUCUUAGGAAAACAGAUGGUGGGGCCAGCUGCCUGGCUUGAAUCCCAGCUGCAUUCUCUGUGUCCUUGGCGAGUUACUUCUCUUCGCCUCGGUCUCCUCAUC